rnacentral:rRNA from 1 species
AUGCAGCGACGCCACGUUGAGGGAUGACGGCCUUCGGGUUGUAAACCUCUUUCAGCAGGGAAGAAGCGAGAGUGACGGUACCUGCAGAAGAAGCGCCGGCUAACUACGUGCCAGCAGCCGCGGUAAUACGUAGGGCGCAAGCGUUGUCCGGAAUUAUUGGGCGUAAAGAGCUCGUAGGCGGUCUGUCGCGUCUGGUGUGAAAUCCCAUGGCUCAACUGUGGGCUUGCAUCGGGUACGGGCAGACUAGAGUGCUGUAGGGGAGACUGGAAUUCCUGGUGUAGCGGUGGAAUGCGCAGAUAUCANGAGGAACACCGAUGGCGAAGGCAGGUCUCUGGGCAGUUACUGACGCUGAGGAGCGAAAGCAUGGGGAGCGAACAGGAUUAGAUACCCUGGUAGUCCAUGCCGUAAACGUUGGGCACUAGGUGUGGGGACAGUUCCACUGUUUCUGUGCCGCAGCUAACGCAUUAAGUGCCCCGCCUGGGGAGUACGGCCGCAAGGCUA